UACGGAGGGUGCAAGCGUUGUCCGGAUUUAUUGGGUUUAAAGGGUGCGUAGGCGGCCCGUUAAGUCAGUGGUGAAAGCCUCCAGCUCAACUGGAGAACUGCCAUUGAUACUGGCGGGCUUGAGUACAGACGAGGUAGGCGGAAUUGAUUGUGUAGCGGUGAAAUGCAUAGAUACAAUCAAGAACACCGAUUGCGUAGGCAGCUAACUAGGCUGUAACUGACGCUGAGGCACGAAAGCGUGGGGAGCGAACAGG
rnacentral:rRNA from 1 species